CGGUUAGUUUCGUCGUCGUACGGAGCGAAGGACGACGCUGGCGGGCGUGCCUAAUACAUGCAAGUCGAGCGAAUCUGAGGGAGCUUGCUCCCGAAGAUUAGCGGCGGACGGGUGAGUAACACGUGGGUAACCUGCCUGUAAGAUCGGGAUAACUCCGGGAAACCGGAGCUAAUACCGGAUAACAUCUCGAACCACAUGGUUCGAGAUUUGAAAGAUGGUUUUCGGCUAUCACUUACAGAUGGACCCGCGGCGCAUUAGCUAGUUGGUGAGGUAACGGCUCACCAAGGCAACGAUGCGUAGCCGACCUGAGAGGGUGAUCGGCCACACUGGGACUGAGACACGGCCCAGACUCCUACGGGGGGCAGCAGUAGGGAAUCUUCCGCAAUGGACGAAAGUCUGACGGAGCAACGCCGCGUGAGCGAAGAAGGCCUUCGGGUCGUAAAGCUCUGUUGUUAGGGAAGAACAAGUACGAGAGUAACUGCUCGUACCUUGACGGUACCUAACCAGAAAGCCACGGCUAACUACGUG
rnacentral:rRNA from 1 species